GUCCAGGGAUGGGAAUCGAACCCACAGUGUUCCGCUUACCGGGCAGGUGCCAUGUCCACUAGGCUACCCUGGA